GUCUAUAGCCAUGCCAACCUGAACAAGCCCAAUGUCUGUUCUCGAAUGCUAAGCAGGUUCAGGCCUGGUUAGUACUUGGAUGGGAGACCACUUGGGAAGACCAGGUGCUGUAGGCA
rnacentral:rRNA from 1 species